GACGAACGCUGGCGGCGUGCCUAAUACAUGCAAGUAGAACGCUGAAGGAGGAGCUUGCUCUUCUGGAUGAGUUGCGAACGGGUGAGUAACGCGUAGGUAACCUGCCUUGUAGCGGGGGAUAACUAUUGGAAACGAUAGCUAAUACCGCAUAAGAGUAGAUGUUGCAUGACAUUUGCUUAAAAGGUGCAAUUGCAUCACUACCAGAUGGACCUGCGUUGUAUUAGCUAGUUGGUGGGGUAACGGCUCACCAAGGCGACGAUACGUAGCCGAACUGAGAGGGGGAUCGGCCACACUGGGACUGAGACACGGCACAGAGUGCUACGGGAGGCAGCAGUAGGGAAUCUUCGGCAAUCGACGGAAGUCUGACCGAGAAACGCCGAGUGAGUGAAGAAGGUUUUCGGAUCGUAAAGCUCUGUUGUAAGAGAAGAACGAGUGUGAGAGUGGAAAGUUCACACUGUGACGGUAUCUUACCAGAAAGGGACGGCUAACUACGUG
rnacentral:rRNA from 1 species